rnacentral:lncRNA from 1 species
AGGGAAAAUUUUGGGUUUAGAGGGAAAUGGGUUUUGGGUUUAGGAGGGAAUAUUUUUUGGGUUUAUUACAUGGUGGGAAAUAGGUUUAGGGUAUAGAGAAGGUUUAGGGUUUAGUUAGGUUUUAGAAAAAAUGUAUUUUUUAUGAAAUCUCAAAACUGUUAAUUAGAAUGUAAUAAUAUAAGAAACUAAAAAAACUUAAAUAUAUUAACAUUUUAAAACUAAGAAAUCUAGUUAUUUUAUAUUUCUAAAUUUUAAACUUCAUAAAUUAUAAAUUUAUUUUAUAUUUCUAAUUUAAAAACUUCCUAAAUUUAAAAACUUCAUAAACUACUUAUUUAUAUUACAAAUUUUUUAAACUUCAUAAACUACAAA